GACGAACGCUGGCGGCGUGCUUAACACAUGCAAGUCGAACGGAAAGGCCCUGCUUUUGUGGGUUGCUCGAGUGGCGAACGGGUGAGUAACACGUGAGUAACCUGCCCUUGACUUUGGGAUAACUUCAGGAAACUGGGGCUAAUACCGGAUAGGAGCUCCUGCUGCAUGGUGGGGGUUGGAAAGUUUCGGCGGUUGGGGAUGGACUCGCGGCUUAUCAGCUUGUUGGUGGGGUAGUGGCUUACCAAGGCUUUGACGGGUAGCCGGCCUGAGAGGGUGACCGGCCACAUUGGGACUGAGAUACGGCCCAGACUCCUACGGGAGGCAGCAGUGGGGAAUAUUGCAAAAUGGGCGGAAGCCUGAUGCAGCAACGCCGCGUGCGGGAUGACGGCCUUCGGGUUGUAAACCGCUUUCGCCUGUGACGAAGCGUGAGUGACGGUAAUGGGUAAAGAAGCACCGGCUAACUACGUG
rnacentral:rRNA from 1 species